CUGUUAUAUGUCAAUAGAAACAUGUCUCACAAAUUAAAGUGUCUUGUAAAAUAUUUGUGGGGUUUUUUUCAAGAAUUUUCUUCCCAAAUCUAUUACAUGCCAACUGUAAAUUGUUAUUUCUGCUAAAACCUUAACUUAAAUGUGUAUAUGGUGUUUAUCUGUUUCUCUCUCUGUUUUAGAUGCACUUAUCAAUCUGGAAUUCGGGCUUAAAGCCAGAAUUGCAGGAAUGCAACACGUGUUGCAGAGGACUCUUUCACUGCCCUCUGUGCCCCACUUUCAGCCCUACUGUCAGGGCAAAGAUUGAGGAGCAUCUAAGUGUGCAUAUAAAAAAAUGCUUUGCCUUUCAAAGAUAAAAUGAUAUGCCGGUGCAGGCUGCCUUGUAGGACAACAGGACACUUUCACUGCCCUGUCUGUAAGAUUACAAUCAUACGGCGUGGGGAUAUGGCAAGGCAUUUAUUGUCUUGUCAGCAUUCUUCAAUACCAAGUCAGCCACCAUUAUCAGGACUGCUCCCCGCUGAACUCUCCGAGGAGACCCGUAUUCCUCCGGCAGUACUCUUCGAGGAGCCCCGUUUCCCCCCCAAGCUGAUGGAAAGUCCUUGAAAAUGACAUGCCCUCACUGUGGCCUUACUCUUCGUAGCUCUGGCAAGCUAUUUGCACACUGGCGAGAGGAAGCCAAAGCUGUGCUUGAAGGACAACACGUGCCCAUUUUCAGACUGAAAAAGCACAAGUUCCAGGAAGUCAGUCAAGAGCCAGCAGUUGUUGAAGAUCUGCGUCCUGCUGUGCAGUGGGUUGUCCAAAAUAAGGCACUUUUCUGUGGACAUGUAACAAUGCCCAAAUAUCUGUCCUUAAAUCAAGGGGACCAGCAGAGGGUCUUAAUAGACAUGUCAGAGGAAGAAGACACUGGAGCAAGGGACUUGUUCCUCUUUGUUUUUCAGUUUGCAGAGGACAUGGAGCUCUUUUUGAAAGCAUGUGCUGAUGAGCAGGGGCUAAGGGUCAGUGCUAUGUUUGACAUGUAAUGGACAAAUGAAGGCACUGGCUGUGUUUGUUUGUUUGUUUAAUAUGUUGUUGUUGUUGUUUUUUUGUUUUGUUUUUUGCGUAGUACAAAAUUCCAAUUAAACUUAUUUCAAAAUGUUGUUCACUUUAUUCUGUGUCCAUACUUAUAAUAAAGGAUUACAGUGUAACAGCAUUAAAUGUAAAUGUAACAGCAUUUUUUUUUAACUUGUAAUUUCAAAAUAAAAAGCUUAUUGUUGAUAUUAACAGUAAAGAAUUGCAAUCAAUAAUAUUUUUAUACAUUUUAAACAUUAACACUCUGGGCUCUAUCCUGGCCAUCUGUGGACACUUCACUUAUUCUUUUUUUUGACUACUGCACUGCAGUGGACCAAAAGAAUGACACAGGUUUGAUCUUAAGGAUCUAAUAGUUGUGUGUGUUGUGCAUGACAUUGCCACACAAAUAUGUAUUUGCAAGAUAGAGUAGAAUAAAUUAUGACG
ensembl:lncRNA